rnacentral:tRNA from 1 species
GGAGGGGUACCCGAGUGGCCAAAGGGGGCAGACUGUAAAUCUGCUGGCUCACGCCUACGUAGGUUCGAAUCCUACCCCCUCCACCA